rnacentral:tRNA from 1 species
GCACCCGUAGCUCAAUUGGCAGAGCAGCUGACUCUUAAUCAGCGGGUUGAAGGUUCAAGUCCUUCCGGGUGUACCA